UGCUCGUGAAGGGCUGUCCUUCGGCUUUGAUUUUGUGACCCUGAGGCCUGGACGGGCUUAGGGGUUGUGAUACUGACACUGGCUGCCGCAGCUUCAGCGUCGCCUCAGGCUGACGGCUUCCUCGGUUAAUUAGUUUAACCCCCUGCUCUCCAGGCCCCUGGGAGAGAGGGGCAAGUUCACGGGGACCGUCAGCUCCCCGUGGGAGGGGUGGGCGGCGCUGCGUGGACGAUGCUGAGACGGAGCCGCGACCGAGGCAGCAGUCGGGACUUGACAGCGCGGGGGGCAGGAGGCUCUAGUUCAAGAUGGUGACGUAGGAAGAACCUGAACUCACCUCCCUCACGGACACACUGUAUUUCUAGCUACCUGCGGAACAGGUUCCUCUGGAAAAAUCCCUGAAAGCUGGCGGGUGAGCCCUUCACAUCGAGCAAAGGAGAGGGAAACACAUCCAAGAAGGCAGGAGAGGCUGGAACACAAGGAACAGACUAGAAAGCAGUCAUCAACCUGCUCCUCUCAUGGCCAAUGGAGCUACAAGGCAAUGCUCCUGCUGUUCCUUGUGGAGACUGCCAAUGGGGUGUCCACAGUCUGCCUGAGCCUGGAACCAGUAGUAAAAGAAGUAUGAGAAUCCACAUGAAACCCUCCUUUUCAGCUUCUCUUAAAAGAUCAGCUCUGGAAGCUGGGCUGCAUUUCUACGCGGGCGUUGUCUGCUGGGGAUUCGUGAGUGACAGCUCCUUUGGCUGGGUUGUUCGUUCCCACAGGGGAUGUUUCCCUCAUUCCUGGCUCUCCAGCGUGUGCGAUGCCUGCCUGGCCCCUGUCGGGUCUGCGUUUGACAGCCCCUGCCUCAUCGGGGAUUCGGGAGGGAAGCUGUCGUUUCCAUUGUGUUGUCCCGCUUUCUCUGAGUGGCUCUUUGCUCUGACUCUGAUCUGCAAUGCGAUCGUGGAUACUGCAGUACCGCUUUUCAUUAGACUGGGUCCUUAGUAAUAAUGAGUAAUUGUUUUUUGUUUUCCACUUGAGGGGGGACUCAGGGCUUUUCCCAACAACAAGGUCUUCUCCGUUGGUCCGAGUAUGCUUACGGAUGUUCCAAAGAGAUGAUCCUCACAAAAUCCCAGUCGUGUUCAUUUUGAGGCUCUGUGAACCCCUGAACCACAGAACAGGGGCAUUAAAGCAGAGUGUUGAGGUCCAAGUGCAGGAGAGAAAAUGCGGGUUCUUCGGUGUGUGACUGCCGAAAUUGUAUUCUAUACCACGAUCGGCUUCUCGGUCUGGAAUGGGUUUAGGAACUGACAUCAGGAAACAAUAUUUCCAUGCUAGAUACAAGUUUCGCUUUUGUCUCCUGGAGUAGGGAUUUGCUACUCCCGGGCCAAGUCUUGGGCUAAAUCUCUGUCCUCCUCUAGUGGAGAUUAUGUAAGUGAAAUUUCCCCCUGUCUGCUUGCUGGCCCGUCAAAGGUGAACACGUGCUAUUCUAAUUGAACAAUUCCUGCACAUUUCUCUUCUAAUUUUAUUUUUCCUUCUCUCAUCCCUCCGAUCUCUCAGAAAGCACAUUCUAGGCUCUGGGGAGCCUCUCUUGCCCCACCAAAGCUAGGACAAUUGCCCCUCCUUUGAGCAUCCAAAGAUCUCCGUACGUGCUUCUACAAUGAGAUUUUCACACCGUUUGCUAAGUGCUUGCUUUCUCAUCUGUCUUCAUCCGACACCUGAGAUUCUUGAGGGCAGGGACCUUGCCCUGCAUCACUGUGCCCUGUUAUCACUUACAAGGAGCCUUGGCUUAAUGACUAAGACUCAAAUGAUUCCCUAGACGUGAGAUUCAAUAACCUUUAUCAAGCUCUUACAUCAAAAUGCAGUUCUCUGAACACCACUGUUGUAAAAUCAGGUCACACGCAUCUCAUAUUUUGUUAAAUAAAUCCCCAGCAUGGGAACAGAUGAAACAACUUCCUUUGUGCUUUUACUUAUCAUAUUAAUUGUGGCUCCCAGUACACCCUCCUGCUACAUAGCUCUUUAGGGAAACCACUCUGAAAGUUUAGCAGGUGUAUUUUUGUGUCUCUCAAGAUUGUAUUUGGCUCUGUGUGACAUCAUCAUUAACAGCUACAGCUGACCCUUGAACGACGUGGGGGUUAGGGGCGUCAACUCUGUGUGGUGGAAAAUCCACAUAUAACUUUACAGUUGAUCCUCCGUAUCUGAAUCCAUGGAUUCAACCAACCUCAGAUGGGGUUGUUCUGUUUUACAUACUUAGUGGAAAACAGUCCCUGUGCAGGUGCACCUGUGCAGGUCAAAGCCAUGUUGUUCAAGGCUCAACUGUACAGCACCUACAAACUUUCAGAAUUACCCUGUCUUAAAAGGAGUAGAAAAAGUUUUUCUCUGUCACAUAAAAUUAAUCGGGAAGUAAUCACUGAGAGCUGGAAAGGUAAUCAUUGAAGGCUCCACAAUAUUCAGGGGGUUGGGACACUUCUGUCCAUGUCAUCUCAAUUCCAGCUGUAUUUCAACCAGUAGGAUGAAAACAGGGGAGAGAACGAGCCCACCUGUUCCAUUUUAAAAGGAGCCCUCUUACCACGCCAUAACUUUGUUGUUUGUACUGCGUGGGCCAGAAUGUGGCCAAUGGCUAUACAGGGAAACCAGGGAGAGACAGAAGUGUGCAUUUAGCUGGGUGGUGAUGUGCCUUGGCAAACAAAUACUAUGUUCUUUCUGCCCGUUUCAGCUCUGCUUUCUAAACGCGAAGAGCGAAGCAGGGGGAUGGAUGCAAGGUAACUGGAUGCAAGGUAACCGUCUCAGUCACACGGCCCCCGGUUAUUUUAUAGUAAGAUUCGAGAUUUGCAGAUACCAACUACUGUAUAUAAAAUAGAUAAACAAGAAAUUUAUAUUGUAGAGCACAGGGGACUAUAUUCAAUAUCUUGUAGUAACCUAUAAUGAAAAAGAUUAUGAAAAUGAAUAUAUGUAUGUGUAUGUAUGACUGAAACAUGAUGCUGGACACUGGAAAUUGUACAACACUGUAAGAUGACUAUA